GAUGAACGCUAGCUACAGGCUUAACACAUGCAAGUCGAGGGGCAGCAUGGUCUUAGCUUGCUAAGGCCGAUGGCGACCGGCGCACGGGUGAGUAACACGUAUCCAACCUGCCGUCUACUCUUGGGCAGCCUUCUGAAAGGAAGAUUAAUACAAGAUGGCAUCAUGAGUCCGCAUGUUCACAUGAUUAAAGGUAUUCCGGUAGACGAUGGGGAUGCGUUCCAUUAGAUAGUAGGCGGGGUAACGGCCCACCUAGUCUUCGAUGGGUAGGGGUGCUGAGAGGAAGGUCCCCCACAUUGGAACUGAGACACGGUCCAAACUCCUACGGGAGGCAGCAGUGAGGAAUAUUGGGCAAUGGGCGAGAGCCUGAACCAGCCAAGUAGCGUGAAGGAUGACUGCCCUAUGGGUUGUAAACUUGUUUUAUAAAGGAAUAAUGUCGGGUAUGGAUACCCGUUUGCAUGUACUUUAUGAAUAAGGAUCGGCUAACUCCGUG
rnacentral:rRNA from 1 species